rnacentral:rRNA from 1 species
GUGGGGAAUAUUGGGCAAUGGGCGAAAGCCUGACCCAGCAACGCCGCGUGAAGGAAGAAGGUCUUCGGAUCGUAAACUUCUAUCCUUGGUGAAGAUAAUGACGGUAGCCGAGAAGGAAGCCCCGGCUAACUACGUGCCAGCAGCCGCGGUAAUACGUAGGGGGCAAGCGUUGUCCGGAAUGAUUGGGCGUAAAGGGCGCGUAGGCGGCCCGGUAAGUCUGAAGUGAAAGUCCUGCUUUUAAGGUGGGAAUUGCUUUGGAUACUGUCGGGCUUGAGUGCAGGAGAGGUAAGCGGAAUUCCCGGUGUAGCGGUGAAAUGCGUAGAGAUCGGGAGGAACACCAGUGGCGAAGGCGGCUUACUGGACUGUAACUGACGCUGAGGCGCGAAAGUGUGGGGAGCAAACAGGAUUAGAUACCCGAGUAGUCC